rnacentral:rRNA from 1 species
UGGCAAGCGUUAUCCGGAAUUAUUGGGCGUAAGCGCGCGCAGGUGGUUUCUUAAGUCUGAUGUGAAAGCCCACGGCUCAACCGUGGAGGGUCAUUGGAAACUGGGAGACUUGAGUGCAGAAGAGGAAAGUGGAAUUCCAUGUGUAGCGGUGAAAUGCGUAGAGAUAUGGAGGAACACCAGUGGCGAAGGCGACUUUCUGGUCUGUAACUGACACUGAGGCGCGAAAGCGUGGGGAGCAAACAGGAUUAGAUACCCUGGUAGUCCACGCCGUAAACGAUGAGUGCUAAGUGUUAGAGGGUUUCCGCCCUUUAGUGCUGAAGUUAACGCAUUAAGCACUCCGCCUGGGGAGUACGGCCGCAAGGCUGAAACUCAAAGGAAUUGACGG